CCUACGGGGGGCAGCAGUGAGGAAUAUUGGUCAAUGGGCGCAAGCCUGAACCAGCCAAGUCGCGUGAGGGAUGACGGUCCUAUGGAUUGUAAACCUCUUUUGUCGGGGAGCAAGGCCCGCCACGUGUGGCGGGAAGGAGAGUACCCGAAGAAAAAGCAUCGGCUAACUCCGUGCCAGCAGCCGCGGUAAUACGGAGGAUGCGAGCGUAAUCCGGAUUUAUUGGGUUUAAGGGGUGCGUAGGCGGACGGUAAAGUCAGCGGUAAAAUGUCGGUGCUCAACACCGGCCUGCAGUUGAAACUGGUCUUCUUGAGUGAGCGAGAGGUGUGCGGAAUGCGUGGUGUAGCGGUGAAAUGCAUAGAUAUCACGAAGAACACCGAUUGCGAAGGCAGCAUACCGGAGCUCAACUGACGCUGAGGCACGAAAGCGUGGGGAUCGAACAGGAUUAGAUACCCGGGUAGUC
rnacentral:rRNA from 1 species